rnacentral:rRNA from 1 species
CGAGUUUGAUCAUGGCUCAGGAUGAACGCUAGCUGGAGGCUUAAUACAUGCAAGUCGAGCGGGAUUGGGUAGCAAUACCCAUGAGAGCGGCGCACGGGUGAGUAACGCGUACACGACCUACCUCUGACAGGGGGAUAGCCCUGGGAAACUGGGAUUAAUACCGCAUAUUAUUCUGAAUAAUAAAGGUUUGGAAUGAAAGCUGAGGCGGUCAGAGAUGGGUGUGCGUCUGAUUAGCUAGUUGGUAGGGUAACGGCCUACCAAGGCGAUGAUCAGUAGGGGGCGUGAGAGCGUGGUCCCCCACACGGGUACUGAGACACGGACCCGACUCCUACGGGAGGCAGCAGUAAGGAAUAUUGGUCAAUGGGGCGAAAGCCCGAACCAGCCAUCCAGCGUGCAGGAAGAAGGCCCUAUGGGUUGUAAACUGCUUUUAUCAGGGAAGAAACCUCUGGAUUUACUCCGGAGCUGACGGUACCUGAAGAAUAAGCACCGGCUAACUCCGUG